CCCUUAACGAGUAACAAUUGGAGGGCAAGUCUGGUGCCAGCAGCCGCGGUAAUUCCAGCUCCAAUAGCGUAUAUUAAAGUUGUUGCAGUUAAAAAGCUCGUAGUUGGAUCUAGGGACGCGCAUUCACAAGCGUCGCGCGUCGUCGGGUCAAACCGGCGGCGCGUCGGCGUUGCGGGCUCGGUCCGCUGGAGGACCAGCGUGUCAACCGGCCCGCCCGUCCCCUCCUUCUGGAUUCCCGUUCCUGCCAUUGAGUUGGUGGGGACGUCACAGGGGGCCGCGCGUCGGCGGUCGUCAAAAGCCACCGGCGUGCGGUCCCUGGGGCCCAGAUCGUUUACCGUGAAAAAAUUAGAGUGUUCAAAGCAGGCAGACAUCAACCAUCUGCCACCGAAUACAUUAGCAUGGGAUAAUGGAAUAGGACCCUGUCCUCCUAUUUUCAGUUGGUUUUCGAGGACCAGGGUAAUGAUUAAUAGGGAUAGUUGGGGGCAUUAAUAUUUAAUUGUCAGAGGUGAAAUUCUUGGAUUUAUGAAAGAUUAACUUCUGCGAAAGCAUCUGCCAAGGAUGUUUUCAUUAAUCAAGAACGAAAGUUAGGGGAUCGAAGACGAUCAGAUACCGUCGUAGUCUUAACCAUAAACGAUGCCGACCAGCGAUUAGGAGACGUUGAAUACAAAACACCACCAUCGGGCGGGUCGUCCCUGGCCGGUGUCGUCCGUGCGCGGCAACGCGGCGGGCGGCCGGUGGGGGCGGUCCGUUUCCCCGAUGGCCCGGUGAAUGACUCCCCUAGCAGCUUGUGAGAAAUCAUAAGUCUUUGGGUUCCGGGGGGAGUAUGGUCGCAAGGCUGCUGUGAUGCCCUUAGAUGUUCUGGGCCGCACGCGCGCUACACUGAUUAAUCCAACGAGUCCGCUUCAAUCGAGGCGUGGCGCGGCGGGGCGGGUCAAACCGUUCCGUCGUCGUCGCUGUCCUCGAUCGCGCCUGGGCCGAUAGGUCCGGGUAAUCUUUGCAAAUUUAAUCGUGCUGGGGAUAGAUCAUUGUAAUUAUUGAUCUUCAACGAGGAAUUCCUAGUAAGCGCGAGUCAUCAGCUCGCGUUGAUUACGUCCCUGCCCUUUGUACACACCGCCCGUCGCUCCUACCGAUUGAAUGGUCCGGUGAAAUCCUCAGAGCCAUGGCCUCUACGCAAUCCGGGCAACCGGGUUGUGAGGUCUCACGCGUUGUAAAAGGCGCGUGUCCUGUGGCGAAGUCGAUUGAACCUUACCAUUUAGAGGAAGAGAAGUC
rnacentral:rRNA from 1 species